AAAAACCUAUAAAAAGGCAGCUGAUAAUAAUAAUAGUUUUAAUUUAGUAAUUGUCUAUAUCUCAUUCCUGCCUUUUCCUUGGACUCUUACACAAAUCCCAUCUCUAGUCAUAACAGAUUCAUUCAUCUAAGUGUGAUUACCCUGUGUAUUAAGCAAUCCCUGUCCUAAAAAAUGCACAUGUUUGAUUCCCAAAUCUAGUACAAUCGUUGAUGUAAGUAGAGAUUUCAAUAUCUCUUCAUGGCAUUUUGAUGAAGAAAUGGACUGCAUAUGAAUGCCAAUGAAUCUUCGCAUCUGACCGUGGCAGUAGCAUUCUGUUAUUCCUUCCAAAUGCUUUGAAGCCUAAGUAUUAAGGGUUAAAUAAUUGUGAUUGACUAGCUUGUUUACCUUUUUGUUUCUAAUUUUUCAAAGCAAGAAUACAACAAUAAAAAUUCAACUAAAAAUUAUAUAACUAAGAAGGAGUACAUAGUUUUAUCUCUAUUAUUUAUAAGGAAGACUAGUCCAGGGAGUACUUUAGUACUGGAGUCUGCAUUAUAUUUUACACGCCCUAAUAUUCAAGAAGUUGUUUUACACUUUUUUAUUAAUACAAUUUUGGUAGAAAAAUAUGGAACAAAUAUAAUAAUUGUGUAGAAAAAUAAGUAUUUGAUCUCUUGUCAAUUUUGUAAGUUUGCCCACUUUAUAUAAAGAUUUUCAAUGAGAUUGAGGUCUGGAGACUGGGCAAGCCACUCGAUGACCUUAAUGUGCUUCUUCUUUUUUAGUCACUCCUUAAUUGCCAUGCUCGUAAGUUAUUUUGGGUUAUUACCAUGCUAGAAGAUCCAUUUUCAGUUCCCUGCCCUGAGGUAAGGAGGUUGUCACCCAAGAUUUCCUGGAGGAUGUGGCGUAGUUGUCAUCUCCACUUUGCAGAGAAACACUCCAAAUACAUAAUGUUUCCAUUCCUAUGCUUGACGAUGGGGAUUUGUCUUCCUCCAAACACUUUUGUUUUGUUCAUAUAAUCAAAUGUACCUCACUGUUAAAAUAAACGUACCAUUCAAAUUAUAAAGCGUUCUUUUCUUUGACAGUGGGCAAACUUACAAAAUCGGCAAACCAUCAAUUUUCCUCCGAGGUCGUUUUUCAAUUAUUAUCAUAAUUUAUAAUUGCUUAUUAACUAUAAUAAUUAACAGAGACGGAUUAACGUCAACGCCAUAAUGUUUAACUUUGAAAGGGUAUUGGAUCAUGUUUGAGCUGCGUCCAGAUUAUGAUAACCUAUCCAUGACGAUGUUAAGGAAUGUGGUAUUGUAUUAUUUUUAGUAUUACACUAAAAUAAAUCUGAUAAAAACUGAUUCAAUUUUAGAACCCAAAAGAUUAAUUAAAAAUGGAUGUGAUUCAAUGAUCAACUUCUGAAUAUUUAUAUAAUCAACAAAUCAGCUCACCAUUUCUUGAAAUCAAUCGGAAAACAUAACUAUUAAUCGAUAUUAUGUUAUGUAAAUAUUAAUAAUAGUUACAUGAUUAAUAAAAUUGUAUGAUUUAUAUGAAACUUGUAGAAAAAAUUAAAGGAAAAAAAUUGA
rnacentral:lncRNA from 1 species